rnacentral:rRNA from 1 species
ACUCCUACGGGAGGCAGCAGUAGGGAAUAUUGGACAAUGGGCGCAAGCCUGAUCCAGCAAUGCCGCGUGUGUGAAGAAGGCCUUCGGGUUGUAAAGCACUUUUAUCAGGAGCGAAAUACUACGGGCUAAUACCCUGUGGGGCUGACGGUACCUGAGGAAUAAGCACCGGCUAACUUCGUGCCAGCAGCCGCGGUAAU